rnacentral:rRNA from 1 species
UAGGGAAUCUUCGGCAAUGGACGAAAGUCUGACCGAGCAACGCCGCGUGAGUGAAGAAGGUUUUCGGAUCGUAAAACUCUGUUGUUAGAGAAGAACAAGGACGUUAGUAACUGAACGUCCCCUGACGGUAUCUAACCAGAAAGCCACGGCUAACUACGUGCCAGCAGCCGCGGUAAUACGUAGGUGGCAAGCGUUGUCCGGAUUUAUUGGGCGUAAAGCGAGCGCAGGCGGUUUCUUAAGUCUGAUGUGAAAGCCCCCGGCUCAACCGGGGAGGAUCAUUGGAAACGGGGAGUCUUGAGUGCAGAAGGGGGGAGUGGAAUUCCAUGUGUAGCGGUGAAUUGCGUAGAUAUAUGGGGGAACACCAGUGGCGAGGGCGGCUCUCUGGUCUGUAACUGACGCUGAGGCUCGAAAGCGUGGGGAGCAAACAGG